UACGUAGGGGGCUAGCGUUGUCCGGAAUCAUUGGGCGUAAAGAGCGUGUAGGCGGCUCAGUAAGUCCGCUGUGAAAGUCCAGGGCUCAACCCUGGAAUGCCAGUGGAAACUGUUGAGCUAGAGUCCGGAAGAGGCGAGUGGAAUUCCUGGUGUAGCGGUGAAAUGCGCAGAUAUCAGGAGGAACACCAACAGCGAAGGCAGAUCUCUGGGACGUAACUGACGCUGAGACGCGAAAGCGUGGGGAGCAAACAGG
rnacentral:rRNA from 1 species